rnacentral:rRNA from 1 species
GACGGAGGGUGCAAGCGUUGUUCGGAUUGACUGGGCGUAAAGGGCGUGUAGGCGGUCGGCCAAGUCUGAUGUGAAAGCCCGAGGCUCAGCCUCGGAAGUGCGUCGGAAACUAGUCGGCUGGAGCGCGAUAGAGGAGGGUGGAAUUCCUGGUGUAGCGGUGAAAUUCGUAGAUAUCGAGAGGAACACCGGUGGCGAAAGCGGCUACCUGGACGAGGACUGACGCUGAGAUGCGAAAGCGUGGGGAGCAAACAGG